GAUGAAGAACGUAGCGAAAUGCGAUAAGUAGUGUGAAUUGCAGAAUUCAGUGAAUCAUCGAAUCUUUGAACGCACAUUGCGCCUUCUAGUAUUCUGGGAGGCAUGCCUGUUUGAGCGUCAUUAAACCUCUCUCAAGUAUGAUUACUUGGAUGUGAAGGAAGAGUACCUUAAACUUAAGGAGUGUUCUCCUUUGAAAUUGAUUCGCAGAUGGUAAUGUUAUUAAAUCCCUGAUGUUGUAAGAAAUAACAGUGGUUUUGUAGACUAUUAUCUAGCUUUAAAUUAUAAUUUUUAUUAUGGUUGACCUCAAAUCAGGUAAGGAUACCCGCUGAACUUAAGCAUAUCAAUAAGCGGAGGA
rnacentral:misc_RNA from 1 species